AGCCAAUGAUGACAAAUAAUCAUUUUCUGACACCUCGUAUGAGAGCUAUUUGCUCCUGAUUCCAACUCUUAACCUGAGGCUA